rnacentral:lncRNA from 1 species
CCCUCUCUCUCUCUCUCUUUUCAUUUUGACCAGUCAACUCUUAUCUUCUCUCUCUCCCUCUCUCUCUCUCUCUCUCUCUUUCUUUUUCUUCUUCUUCCUCCCUGUGCGUCCGAAGAAGCGAACCAGAAGAGGAAGCUCGAGCAGAAGCUAAAGCUCACUGAAGCCGCCGUCGCCGCCCACGCCCCGCUGCAGCUCGCCGCCAGGCCGUCGUCCCGCCAUCCGCGCUCCACCCCGCGUCCGUCCCCUCAUGCCCAGUCCUCCCCUGUGCGAUUUCAGCUGCUGUCCAGCUCGGUUCUGCCCCGACCAGCCACCUCCGGCCACCGCCCAGCCCCGACCAGCCACCUCCGGCCACCGCCCAGCUCCGCCUGGCGUCCCCGGCAUCCCCCUCGUCCUCCGCCGGCCUCCCCUCGCCGCCCAAGCCACCGGAUUAGCUCCAGCGAGCCUUGAACCGCAACCCACAGAGUGGGUAUCCAGCCGGUUCGUGGGCCGUUAUGGGCCGUUUCCGGGCCCCGAACCCAAGCCAUGCUUUGGGAAGAAUUGUUCCUCGCGUCGCCCCGUCGGAUUGAUCCGAUUU